GUAAUUGUGAGGACGGCGCGCAACCAACCGGGCAGUGCUUCGCUCUGUUGUACAUCAGCUCGCUGUGAGCCUGCCCCAGCUUGCCGGCAACUAGCAGCAGAACAACAGUGUGGUUGGGCUGUGCAGUCAGUUCCACUCACAGCAGCCUCUCGGGCAGGGUAGAACUGCCCCCGGGGGUUCUCAGGCUCUACAACUUUACAGACGUUGACUGCUGCAUCUUUUCUUCCAGAGCAGCUGGUGGGUUCGGUCCACUGGACUCUCAGCUCAGUGCCCAGUGCUGGGCUGCCGGCGCUCCCUCCCGGUGGGAAGGAGGAGGGCUGCUCAAGGAGACUCGGUGCUUGCUGAGGGGACCCGCUCCAUCCUCUGUGCAGUGGGAGGCAGGGAAGGUUUGAAACUGUUUCUGAAUGAGGCCCAUCCUGCGACGUCUCCAGCGAGCACUUUGAGGACCCUGAAUCAGCACCAUGACUCUGUAAGCUUUGGUCCACUGGGUAAUUUAGACAUUGCUGAAUAAAUUUAAAAACUAAUCUUUUCAAGGGUUUCUGAUGUGUAGGCAGUUUACAUUCUGAACUCAUUAAAUUCUCACAGCAGGUCUAUAUCGCAGAUACUGUUGAUGCCUUCAUUUUCUAGACGAUAAAACCAAGACACUGAGGUGUUAAGUAGCUUGACGCCAACGACACACAGCUUACUCAGUGGUUCUGACCGUUUGUGGUGGUUGGAUCCUGUGGUAGCUACAUAACUUCAUGUCAACUUGAAGAUACAUACAAGUGGAGGCGUGGCAUUCAACCUGUCCUUCAGGUCACAGCCAGAUGGUAUCUCCUUGUGGCGUGUCCUUCUCAUAAGGAGGCCCUGGGAACCUCCCUUUCUCUCUGCCUUCACCCUCCUGCUGAUGGGCCUUCAUUGCUGCUAGAGCCUUGUGACCACCCCUGGAUCCACGGGAUUUUGUACCCGCCAGCCUGUGAUGUUCUUGCAUUCUGCAUCAUGGCUUGUGACUGCAUGAGUCUGAAGAGGGACACAGGGACUGGCAUCAGAUGUACAGACUUGAGUUGGACUGGGCUGGGAUGUUUUCUGGAUAUGUAACUAACUUGUCGAUAUAAAGUUCUUACGCAGAUA